rnacentral:rRNA from 1 species
CGCGAUCGAAUACGGCUCUUCGCCCGUCGACGCGGCCGAGCACCACACCGAUACCGGCUGCUCGCGACGCUUGACGAAUUCGGCGAGGAUCGGAAAGUGGUGCGAUUCGCGAAAGAACGCGGUCAGGUUCGUCGUCAGCGAGUUCGUGAACGCUUCCCAUUCGGACGGGUCGUUCUCACGCUCGAGCAGUUCGAGGUAAUCGCAGAAGCGGUUGAGCCCGCGCGCGCGCAGCCGCCGCGCGAGGCGGCUGUACGCCAUGUCGCGCUUGUGCUCGGACAGCGAGAUGCCCGCGCGCCGGUGGAUCAGCGCGCGGAUCUUCGUGAAAUCGGCGGACGUGAAUUCGAAGUCCCGCGCAGCGUCGCCCGACCGUUCUUGCGGUUCGGGUGCGUCGAGACGAGAAGCGGCGCGUGCGGGCAUCAUGGCUUAGAAGGUUUCCCAGUCGUCGUCGGAGGAUGCCGACGCGGCCGCGGGCUUCGGCUCGCCCGACAGCGCCGGGCGCUUGAGUGCGAAGGAGGACGCGGGAGCGGAGGCGGCUUGCGGCGCGGCGGCGUCGGCCGGGCUCGCCGCGGGGCGCGCGGCGGCGCCCGGCUUCGCGAGCUUCGGUGCAUAGCCGGCUGCGGCCGGCGCGGCGGCGGGCUUCGGCGCGGCGGCGGGCUUCGCGCCAUGCGGCGCGGCGUGCGUCCCGCGCUGCUCGCCGUGCGAAGCGGGCGCGGCGGCGGGCGAACGCGGCGAUCCGGCUCCGCCGGCCGUCGCGUCCGCGGCAUGCGUCGCGGAUGCGACGGCAUGAGCGACCGCAUGCGGCUCGCUCGACGCGCUCGCGCGGGCGUUCACGUUCGAACGCACGCUCGCGGCCGCCGACGUCGACGCGGCCGGCGUCGCCGCCGCGCUUGCGCCUUCGAUGCGCCAUGCCGAGACGAUCUGCUUCAUCUGCCGCGUCUGAUCCUCGAGCGACGCGGCCGCGGCCGCCGCUUGCUCGACGAGUGCCGCGUUCUGCUGCGUGACGGCGUCCAUCUGGCUGACCGCGCGGUUCACCUGGACGAUGCCCGUCGACUGCUCUUCGGACGCCGCGCUGAUCUCGCCCAUGAUGUCGGUCACGCGCCGCACCGCCUGGACGAUCUCGGCCAUCGUCGCGCCCGCGCGCUCGACGAGCGCGGAGCCGCUUUGCACCUUGUGCGCGGAGUCGCCGAUCAACUGCUUGAUUUCCUUCGCGGCCGUCGCGCUUCUCUGCGCGAGCGAGCGCACCUCGCCCGCGACCACCGCGAAGCCGCGGCCCUGUUCGCCCGCGCGCGCCGCCUCGACGGCCGCGUUCAGCGCGAGGAUGUUG